rnacentral:rRNA from 1 species
GAUGAACGCUGGCGGCAUGCCUAAUACAUGCAAGUCGAACGAGAGGAAGGAAAGCUUGCUUUCCUGAAUCUAGUGGCGAACGGGUGAGUAACACGUAGGUAACCUGCCCAUGUGCCCGGGAUAACUUCUGGAAACGGAUGCUAAAACCGGAUAGGUAGCAGACAAGCAUUUGACUGCUAUUAAAGUGGCUAAGGCCAUGAACAUGGAUGGACCUGCGGUGCAUUAGCUAGUUGGUGAGGUAACGGCCCACCAAGGCGACGAUGCAUAGCCGGCCUGAGAGGGCGGACAGCCACAUUGGGACUGAGACACGGCCCAAGCUCCUACGGGAGGCAGCAGUAGGGAAUUUUCGUCAAUGGGGGGAACCCUGAACGAGCAAUGCCGCGUGAGUGAGGAAGGUCUUCGGAUCGUAAAGCUCUGUUGUAAGAGAAAAACGGCACUCAUAGGGAAUGAUGGGUGAGUGAUGGUAUCUUACCAGAAAGUCACGGCUAACUACGUGCCAGCAGCCGCCGUAAGAC